AUUGAACGCUGGCGGCAGGCCUAACACAUGCACGUCGAGCGGAGCGGCGGACGGGUGAGUAAUGCAUAGGAAUCUGCCUGGUAGUGGGGGAUAAAGUCCGGAAACGGGCGCUAAUACCGCAUACUAUCCAAUGAGCCUAGGGAGGAUUAGCUAGUUGGUGGGGUAAAGGCCUACCAAGUCAACGAUCCGUAACUGGUCUGAGAGGAUGAUCAGUCACACUGGAACUGAGACACGGUCCAUACUCCUACGUGAGGCAGCAGUGGGUAAUAUUGGACAAUGGGCGAAAGCCUGAUCCAGCCAUGCCGCGUGUGUGAAGAAGGUCUUCGGAUUGUAAAGCACUUUAAGUUGGGAGGCGUUACCAACAGAAUAAGCACCGGCUAACUUCGUGCCAGCAGCCGCGGUAAUUC
rnacentral:rRNA from 1 species